AAUGGAAUAGUAUAAAUGGUCAUUACAGAGGUCUGCAAAACUUUUAAUAACAGUUCAAGUCUGUUUUCCAGCU
rnacentral:tRNA from 1 species